AUCCGGGCUUGGGACCGGCUAAGCACAAACUACUUAGGCGGAGUUGAUAACAGUAACACAUUGUGUCUUAAAAUUUAGGCUAGCUCAGUUGUGAUUUCUUGGUGAUGUUUAAGAAUUUUGAGUUUAUGUCUGGUGUUAAAAUCACUUGGUAGAAUGCUUUGGCUUGAAGUAAGUUAUGUUAAUAAGUUAAUAUUAACUUGGAUAAAUGUUGUUUUUGGGGCUUGUUUUACAUGAAAAUUGAAAUCUGAAUCAUGGUUUAGCAGAAGUUCUUCAGUGGCAUAUUUCUGUAUGAUAGAAGAAUUUUGUCCUUUACAGUGGAUCCCACUCCACAAACCCCCCAACUUCUCUUGUAACAUUAAAACUUACAAUUGCUAUUUGACAUGAAAGGAUGGUGAUCUUGGUUUCAUGAUUG
rnacentral:misc_RNA from 1 species